rnacentral:tRNA from 1 species
GGGCCGGUAGUUCAGUUGGGAGAACGCUUGGUUCGCAAUCAAGAGGUCGGGGGUUCGACUCCCCCUCGGUCCA